rnacentral:rRNA from 1 species
GACGAACGCUGGCGGCGUGCUUAACACAUACAAGUCGAACGGAAAGGCCCUGCUUUUGUGGGGUGCUCGAGUGGCGAACGGGUGAGUAACACGUGAGUAACCUGCCCUUGACUUUGGGAUAACUUCAGGAAACUGGGGCUAAUACCGGAUAGGAGCUCCUGCUGCAUGGUGGGGGUUGGAAAGUUUCGGCGGUUGGGGAUGGACUCGCGGCUUAUCAGCUUGUUGGCGGGGUAGUGGCUUACCAAGGCUUUGACGGGUAGCCGGCCUGAGAGGGUGACCGGCCACAUUGGGACUGAGAUACGGCCCAGACUCCUACGGGAGGCAGCAGUGGGGAAUAUUGCACAAUGGGCGGAAGCCUGAUGCAGCAACGCCGCGUGCGGGAUGACGGCCUUCGGGUUGUAAACCGCUUUCGCCUGUGACGAAGCGUGAGUGACGGUAAUGGGUAAAGAAGCACCGGCUAACUACGUG